rnacentral:lncRNA from 1 species
UGGAGGUUCCCAGGCUAGGGGUCUAAUCAGAGUUACAGCUGCCAGCCUACACCACAGCCACAGCAACGCAGGAUCUGAGCUGUCUGUGUCUGUGACCUACACCACAGUUCAUGGCAACGCCAGAGCCUUAACUCACUGAUUGAGGCCAGGGAUUGAACCCGAAACCUCAUGGUUCCUAGUUGGAUUUAUUUCUGCUCAGCCACAAUGGGAACUCCUCUUUGUCCUUUAUUAUUCAUUUUUUUCUGGACAAGGUGCUAAAACACCUUGGACCAAUUUGUAUACCUUUCUUAAAAUAGGAAUCAGUCAAAACACUACACUGUGGAGUUCCCCUCGUGGUUCAGUUGUUAACGAAUCUGACUAGCAUCCAUGAGGACGCAGGCUCGACCCCUGACCUUGUUCAGUGGGUUAAGGAUACGGUGUUGCCAUGAGCUGUGGUGUAGGUCACAGAUGUGGCUCGGAUUCUGCAUUGCUGUGGCUGUGGUGUAGGCCGGCGGCUACAGCUCCGAUUAGACCCCUAGCCUGGGAAUCUCCAUAUGCUGUGGGUUCGGCCCUAAAAAAAACAAAACAAACAAACAAAAAACCACUCAGGAACCUCCUGGGGGAUCAAGUAUGGGAAUUGACUGGGAAGUGAUGCAAGGAAACUUUCUGGGUUUGGUGAUGAUCUGUAUCUUGACAGAGGUUUGGGUUACAUGGUUUAGACAUUUGCCAAAACUCAUGAAAUGAUAUAUAAAAGAUUUGCGCAUUUCACUGUAUUUCAGCUUCAUCCAAAAAAGAGAAAACAUGUAUUGAACUCUAGUUAAUGAUAUUCAGGUUGAAGUGUUGAAAGAUGAAGUGUAAGAUGCCUACAACUUACUUUGAAAAAAAAGGAUGGAUUGAUAGGUGGAUAGAAGGGUGAAGAGGUUGAUAGUCCUAUAAUGCAGCAAACACAAUAUAAUGUUAAUGGUAGAAUGACAUGAGGUGAGUACAUGAGUACAUUUCUGUAUGCUUGAAAUUUUUCAUAAUAAAAUAUUGGAAAAGAAAGACCAGGAGUUCCCGUCGUGGCUCAGUCGUUAACAAAUCCAACUAGAAACCACGAGGUUGCAGGUUCGAUCCCUGGCUUUGCUCAGUGUGUUAGGGAUCCGGCCUUGUCAUGAGCUGUGGUGUAGGUUGCAGACAUGGCUUGGAUCUGGCAUUGCUGUGGCUGUGGCAUAGGCAGACAGCAAUAGCUCCGAUUAGACCCCUAGCCUGGGAACUUCUAUAUGCUGUGGAAGCGGCCCCAGAAAAGGCAAAAAGACAAAAAAAAAAAAAAAAAAAAAAAAAAAAAAAAAAAAAAGAAGAACGACCAAAAAACUUCUGACAACAACAAAAUAAGACUGAAGAAGUAUUGGUUUCUUAGGGCCACCAUAACAAACUACAACAAACAGGGUAACUUCUUCACAUGCUAGCUUGAGCCUGCAAGCAUGAGGGUUCCGUGAAUCAGGUGAUGGCCUUUUAUGUCCAGCCUUGGAAGUCACAGGGCAUUACUUCCUCUAGGCUGCAGGGGCCAAGUCAUCACCAGCCCAUCCAGAUUUAAGGGAAUAGGACAGAGAGAGCCCCCACCUCAAUGUGAGAGCCGUCUGAGAAUUUGCAGUCCUGUUUUAAAGCCAACACACCCAGCUAGAGGGACGUUAUCUGCCACCUAGCCUGUUGUCUCGUCCUCAGCAAGGAGAAGGAGAAAGAAGUUUCUCAUCUCCACAUUGACCAAGGGAAAAAUGAAGUCAGGUCCUCACUCAGAGCACACACUGCUCUGUGACCUGCUUUCCCCCCAAGGCAUCAAGGGCGUCCUCUGGUACAAGCCAGAGCUGGGAGAACCAACCGAUACCGGGUCACAUGGCACAUGGCGCUGGACACCUCUACAGCGGACUCUCCCCCUCCUUGCCCCAUCCCCGUCCCUGAGCUUUUGACUUUGGGUGUCCCACCCACCCUUCUACGCGGUCCUUCCCAUCACCACUCAGCCCAGACCUCCCGCCCUUGGUCUCGAGACAGAAUGAACUCUCUCGCUUGGGGACAAUGGAAGCCUUUGUCAUCUUUUCCUUCUUCGGGUGGCCCAGCGUCUGUAUGAGAAUCCAGAUUACCCUCUCAGGCUGUGCUGGCGAUUACCUCCAAGAAUCUCUUCACCCCACCCUCUCCUCGCAGGCUGGGGGUGAGUUGGGGCUGCACAAAGGGAAGAAUGUUAUCACGGUAAACCAGGACGGGCCCGGCUUGGCUCUGUUGCAGAAAACACACUUCACUCAUGCAGAACAUGCCAAAUUGAAAAGAUUGUGGGUUAAUCAAAUCCUUUUCUCCUCUGUUUUUAUCAAACUCAAGAGGGGCUGGCCUAUUAAUUAGAAACGCUUUUUCAUGUAAAACAUGGGCGCUUUGGAGAUAAGGAGGGAAGACCCUUGAUUCUACAGUCACAAUGAUGUUUCAGUUAUUUCAUUAUAAGCGCCAAGUUCACUGCUGGCCCCAUGCAUGCCGUGCAGACCUCCCAUCAUUCUCGUGGAAAAACUCCCUGAGACUCAGGAAGUUCACUGGCCAGCAGAUGAGGGCAAGAGAGUUUCUUUUUCUGAAGUCACAAUGCACUGAAGACCUCGCUUUUCUAUACGGUGCUACCAGAAAAAUUUAACAGGCUUUUAUUCUGUGUUAUCCAGUUACAGCCCUGCCAACUUCGUGGGGCUAUUUAAAUUUCAAUUAAUUACAAUGAAAAAUUCAAUUGCUCAGUCCACUAGCUGCAUUUCAAGUGCUCAGUAGCAGCAUUGGCUAGGGGCUUCUCCACCGGAUGACAGAGAUAGAGAAUAUUUCCGUCAUUACAGAAAGUUCUAUUGGGCAGCACUGCUUCUUUCAACAAGCUCACAAAGCAUCCCAUUUGUCUACUAGGAAAAACCAAAACCUACUAUAUUUCUGUAGUGACACUUGUUGGUUCUCCUUGCCCAGCACCUUGGCCUUGGUUCAAUUAUGUUGGCCCAAUAGAUGUAAACUCCAUGACUUUGACUGGAAUUGAUGGGAAGGGGGUGCCCUGCUGGGGAUAUAAACCAAGAACUGCAAGGGGCCAUCAUACUUUAUCCUAGAGAGAGUUGGCCUGCAAAUGACUUCAUUCCGGAAGAAAGCAGAGAGAAGGUUAAAGAGAGUCUAACUGUUGACAUGGUAGACCUCUUGGAUCCAACUGUGUUUGAUGGCAGAUCUAGCCCUAAACUUCUGAUCACAUGAAACUAUUAACACCUUGGUACUAAUGAUUCAUCCAAACCCUCUUCCAAAUUAUCAUGCUUAUGUCUAUUUGAACGGGUGCUGUCACAACCAAAAGUAUUCUGAUUUAUGUAUGUUCUGAGAAUGGUCAUCCAUAUACAAAGGGAAAGGAAGCUAUUUUUUCCUCUACUGACACAUUUCUAUCUCAAACAAUUAUUAAGAUCCGUUUCAUGUGAUAGAAGGGUAUCAGUCCCAGAUGAGCUUCCUGUUCCUACCUGGCUCCAGACAGGCCCUUUCUGGAUCAUGAAGCUCCCUGACCCAGGAGAACCAGUUCCAUAGGCUGAGGCUACACCAAGCUGAUUCCCUCUUUUUUAAGAAUUUGGAUGAAGUGGAAACAAAGAUUGAUUGAGUUGAUGAUGGAGUCAUAUCAGUGAGAGCACAAGACUGAAAGGCCAUGCACUGUGGCUGCUGAGAAACCUCAAGUUGUUCUGCUCUCACCCUGCCUGAGGCCCAUGUCCUUUUAAUAAACCACCUUUAACUUGAGCUAGUUCAAGUUUGUGUCUAUUUCUGACAACCAAAUAUGCCUGGUUAAGAGAGUAUCAAAAGCCUGCAAGGCCUUUUAUUUGGGCCAAGCAAUUCUAUUUCUAGGAAUUUACUGCUAGAAAAUAAUCAAAGUAUGUAUACAAAGAUUUAGCUGUGAGGCUAUUAAGGGCAGUGCUCUUUAUCUUUGUAAGAAGUUGGGAAGAACCUAUAUAUAAUGGGAAGUUUGGACAUCAUUUACGUUUGGCUUUAUAAGUUAUUUUAAUUGUUAUUGUUUUAUUGAAGUGUGGUUGAUCUACCAUGUUCCAGGUAUACAGCAAAAUGAUUCAGUUACACACACACACACACACACACACACACACACGCACACGCACACAUAUAUCUUUUUUCAGAUUCUUUUCCAUUAUAGGUUAUUACAAAAUACUGAAUAGGGGUUUCCAUUGUGGCUCAGUGGGUUAAGAACCUGACUAGUAUCCAUGAGGAUGCAGGUUCGAUCCCUGGCCUUGCUCAGUCGGCUAAGGAUCUGGCGUUGCCACAAACUGUGGUGUAGGUUGCAGACACAGCUCAGAUCCCACAUUGUCGUGGCUGUGUUAUAGACCAGCAGUUCCGAUUCAACCCCUAGCCUGGGAGCUUCCAUAGGCCUCUAGUGCUGCCCUAAAAAAGGAAAAUAAUACUAAACAGCAAAAUAAGUACCAGGGGGCUCUAAAAAUCUUGUAGUCCAUGUUUUGUUUUGUUUUAUUUUUUUCAGAGAAGGAUAAACAUUUAAAUUAUUUCAAACAUUUGGAGCAUCUGCUUUGCUGGAGCCUUACACAUGAACUACGUUUUUCCAUAAUGGUCGGGAGAAUGUUCCAGACAGGGAACAGCAAGUGCAAAGGCUCAGAGGCAGAGUGAGCAUAGCUUUUAGUCCUGUGAGUGGUGGAACCAUAGCCUGUGAGAGGAGAGUGUCCAGGUAUGGAGCUGGACAGGUCAGCAAGGCCCAGUUAAGAAGGGACUUGGAGGUCAUUUGAGGAGUUUCAACCUGAUUGUCAAGGCCAUGCAAAGUCAUUGAAAGGGUUUAAGCUGGGAAAUGACAUGUUACAGUAUUUUUUAAAAGACUUUCUUUCAGAGUUAACAAAAUGAGAUAUUAUUAGCCAGAGUGGCUAGGGAAAUUGCUUUAAAAAAAAACCCACAGGCACAAUUUUUAACUUGACAGUGUUUCGCAGACAUUCUGGAGCCUUUAAAAAAAAAAUUCAUUAUGCUGACACUAACUAUCAAACCCCAUUCCCUUGAGCUCAGCUGUGUUGUAGCUGAAAACUUGUUCUAUAUGUUUACACAGCACCCAAUUUUCCAAAUCUCUGCAAAUUUGCCCUUAACAGUAAAAUACUGGGUACAGACCAUCUACCCACUCCACCCCAAUUAUCCUCCUUGGUGUGUGCUGAUGCUGUGAUUGUUGUUAUGAUGGAAAAGAUUGGAGCCAUGUCUUAUUUAUAAGCCUCUCUGGAGGAACCCAUGGGAAUUUUAUCCUUU